GACGAACGCUGGCGGCGUGCCUAAUACAUGCAAGUCGAACGCUUUUUCCUUCACCGGAGCUUGCUCCACCGAAAGAAAAGGAGUGGCGAACGGGUGAGUAACACGUGGGUAACCUGCCCAUCAGAAGGGGAUAACACUUGGAAACAGGUGCUAAUACCGUAUAACAAUAGAAACCGCAUGGUUUCUAUUUGAAAGGCGCUUUUGCGUCACUGAUGGAUGGACCCGCGGUGCAUUAGCUAGUUGGUGAGGUAACGGCUCACCAAGGCAACGAUGCAUAGCCGACCUGAGAGGGUGAUCGGCCACAUUGGGACUGAGACACGGCCCAAACUCCUACGGGAGGCAGCAGUAGGGAAUCUUCGGCAAUGGACGRAAGUCUGACCGAGCAACGCCGCGUGAGUGAAGAAGGUUUUCGGAUCGUAAAACUCUGUUGUUAGAGAAGAACAAGGAUGAGAGUAAAAUGUUCAUCCCUUGACGGUAUCUAACCAGAAAGCCACGGCUAACUACGUGCCAGCAGCCGCGGUAAUACGUAGGUGGCAAGCGUUGUCCGGAUUUAUUGGGCGUAAAGCGAGCGCAGGCGGUUUCUUAAGUCUGAUGUGAAAGCCCCCGGCUCAACCGGGGAGGGUCAUUGGAAACUGGGAAACUUGAGUGCAGAAGAGGAGAGUGGAAUUCCAUGUGUAGCGGUGAAAUGCGUAGAUAUAUGGAGGAACACCAGUGGCGAAGGCGGCUCUCUGGUCUGUAACUGACGCUGAGGCUCGAAAGCGUGGGGAGCAAACAGGAU
rnacentral:rRNA from 1 species